rnacentral:rRNA from 1 species
UUUUGGUUCGGAAUAACCCCGGGAAACUGGGGCUAAUACCGGAUGGUUCCUUCGGGAUAAAGAUUUAUCGCCAAAAGAUGAGUCCGCGUACGAUUAGCUAGUUGGUGAGGUAAUGGCUCACCAAGGCGACGAUCGUUAGCUGGUCUGAGAGGACGAUCAGCCACACUGGGACUGAGACACGGUCCAGACUCCUACGGGAGGCAGCAGUGGGGAAUUUUGGACAAUGGGGGAAACCCUGAUCCAGCGACGCCGCGUGUGGGAUGAAUGGGUUAUGCCCUGUAAACCACUGUCAGCAGAGAAGAAAAGGUUCCUUUGGAACCCGGGACUGUAUCUGCAGAGGAAGGACCGGCUAACUACGUGCCAGCAGCCGCGGUAAUACGUAGGGUCCAAGCGUUAUCCGGAAUUACUGGGUAUAAAGGGUGCGUAGGCGGCCUUGUGCGUCGAAGAUUAAAGGCCAUGGCUCAACCAUGGAAAUGCCCUCGAUACGGCAAGGCUUGAGUAUGAGAGAGGAAGAUGGAAUUCCUGGUGUAGCAGUGAAAUGCGUAGAUAUCAGGAGGAACACCGGUGGCGAAGGCGGUCUUCUGGCUCAUUACUGACGCUGAGGCACGAAAGUGUGGGGAGCGAACAGGAUUAGAUACCCUGGUAGUCCACACCGUAAACGAUGUAUGCUUGGUGUUAGAACAAAUUGUUGUUCUAGUGCCGGAGAUAAUUCGUUAAGCAUACCACCUGGGAAGUACGAUCGCAAGUUGAAACUCAAAGGAAUUGACGGGGCCCGCACAAGCGGUGGAUUAUGUGGUUUAAUUCGAUGCACGCGAGACCUUACC